rnacentral:rRNA from 1 species
AGUGAACGCUGGCGGUAGGCCUAACACAUGCAAGUCGAACGGCAGCACAGAGGAGCUUGCUCCUUGGGUGGCGAGUGGCGGACGGGUGAGGAAUACAUCGGAAUCUACUCUGUCGUGGGGGAUAACGUAGGGAAACUUACGCUAAUACCGCAUACGACCUACGGGUGAAAGCAGGGGAUCUUCGGACCUUGCGCGAUUGAAUGAGCCGAUGUCGGAUUAGCUAGUUGGCGGGGUAAAGGCCCACCAAGGCGACGGUCCGUAGCUGGUCUGAGAGGAUGAGCAGCCACACUGGAACGGGGACACGGUCCAGACUCCUACGGGAGGCCGCAGUGGGGAAUAUUGGACAAUGGGCGCAAGCCUGAUCCAGCCAUACCGCGUGGGUGAAGAAGGCCUUCGGGUUGUAAAGCCCUUUUGUUGGGAAAGAAAUCCAUCUGGUUAAUACCCGGGUGGGAUGACGGUACCCAAAGAAUAAGCACCGGCUAACUUCGUGCCAGCCGCCGCCGUAA